CGGAGAGGCCGGGUGAUCGCCGGCGGGUUCGCCCGCGGGAGGAAAGUCCGAGCUCCAUAGGACGGGAUGCCAGGUAACGCCUGGUGGGGGUGACCCCGAGGAAAGUGCAACAGAGAGUAUACCGCCUCGCGACGUCGGCUUCGGCCGGGGUCUCCGAGGUAAGGGUGAAAGGGUGAGGUAAGAGCUCACCGGGCCGGCGGUAACGUCGGCUGCAGGCAAACCCCAUUCGGAGCAAGACGGAAUAGGGGAGCGUUCGAGGGUGGUCCGCCCGAGCUUCCGGGUUGCGUUGCUCGAGGCCCGUGGUGACGCGGGCCCUAGAUGAAUGAUCGCCAGCCGGGUCCGGCGACGGCCCCGGCGGACAAAACUCGGCUUAUAGGCCCCUCCGACCG
rnacentral:RNase_P_RNA from 1 species